UACAGAGGGGGCAAGCGUUGUUCGGAAUUACUGGGCGUAAAGGGCGCGUAGGCGGCCUUCUAAGUCGAACGUGAAAUCCCCGGGCUCAACCCGGGAACUGCGUCCGAUACUGGAAGGCUUGAAUCCGGGAGAGGGAUGUGGAAUUCCCGGUGUAGUGGUGAAAUGCGUAGAUAUCAGGAGGAACACCGAUGGCGAAGGCAGCUCGCUGGGACGGUACUGACGCUGAGGCGCGAAAGCGUGGGGAGCGAACAGG
rnacentral:rRNA from 1 species